rnacentral:rRNA from 1 species
GACGAACGCUGGCGGCGUGCUUAACACAUGCAAGUCGAACGAAGUGGCGAACGGGUGAGUAACGCGCAAUCAACCUGCCCUUCAGAGGGGGACAACAGUUGGACACGACUGCUAAUACCGCAUACUGAAGGAGGGGAUUGCGUUGGAUUAGCUAGUUGGCGGGGUAACGGCCUACCAAGGCGAUGAUCAGUAGACGGGCUGAGAGGAUGAACUGCAACAUUGGGACGGAGACACGGCCCAGAGUCCGACGGACGGCAGAAGUAGGGAAUCUUCCGCAAUGGACGAAAGUCUGACGGAGCAACGCCGCGUGAGUGAUGACGGCCUUCGGGUUGUAAAGCUCUGUUAAUCGGGACGCGGUACCGGAAUAGAAAGCCACGGCUAACUACGUGCCAGCAGCCGCGGUAAUUC